UUUAAAAAGAGAAGAAAAGAAAUGAUUUUUUUCAUUUUCUUGUCCUUUUUUGUUUUGUUUUGUUUUUAUCAAAACCGCGAAAAAGGAAAACAAGAAAAA
rnacentral:ribozyme from 13 species